CUUCUUCCCUCAAUUUAUUCAACAACAUUCAUAAAAAAAUCCAGGAAAAAAAUCCAGAAAAAUAAACAACAUAAAUUAAACCUCACCUCCAUCAUUAUCAACUCAAACCUAAAGUCAUUCAUUCAACCAUAAUCAUAUUCCUCAUCUCAAUUCUUUCCUAUUUCUUCUUCAGAGAAUCCCACCUAAAAACAUUCAUUCCACCAUAGUCACAUCUUUUCUCAACUUUAUAUUCGAAUCCAAACAACAAAGCAAAAAAAAUUCGAAUUCUAGAUUCGAAUCAUUCAAUUCUUUCAUCUUUCCUCUUCAGCAAUCAAAGCAAAAAAAAGAAGAAGAAUGAAGACAGAGAAAGAAACCUUCAUAUCUGAGUUGGUUAUGUGCCUACGCUUCCUCUCUUGAAACCCUUUUCUGGGUUCUAGAUGUGAGCUUAAAGAAAUCAGUCACGUUUUUUUUCUGCCAUAGCCAUGUUUCUGGAAGAAGGUGAAAGAGAUCCAGAGAUGUUGUUGUUGUAAUUCGAAUUUUUUUUCUGCCAUAGCCAUGUUUCGAUUCAAUCCGGUGUUGAUGUUGUUGUUGUUUCAAUUCAAUCCAUGAAUUUUUUGAUGUUGUUGUUCUAUGAAUUGAUUUUUUUAGCUUUACGGUUGGUGAAUUGAUGUUGUUGUUCUAUAUGAAUUGAUGUUGCUUUACGGUUGUUGUUGUUCUAUGAAUUGAAUUUGUUAAUGGUGUUCCAUGAUGUUGCUAUUCUGGAUUUGUUGUUGUUCUGGGUUAUGAUUGAGGGAAGUGUUAGGUGCAUCCAUGGUGACCAUAACAGUGGAGGAGGAUGAAAGGCAUCAGUCACGUAGGAUUUGGCCACGUGGCAAAAACUAACGGAAGUUUCAUGUGUUGACGGAAAGGAUUUAUUUGACCUACGGAGGUGAACUUGAGGGAC
rnacentral:lncRNA from 1 species